ACAGCAGUCGCCACGGGAAUACCAGCACCUCGAGUGGUCAGGAGGUUUAUUGGGCCUAAAGCAUCCGUAGCCGGUUGCAUAAGUUUUCGGUUAAAUCUAUGUGCUUAACGUAUAGGCCGCCGAAAAUACUGUGCAGCUAGGGAGUGGGAGAGGUACACGGUACUCGAUAGGAAGGGGUAAAAUCCUUUGAUCUAUUGAUGACCACCUGUGGCGAAGGCGGUGUACCAGAACACGUUCGACGGUGAGGGAUGAAAGCUGGGGGAGCAAACCGGAUUAGAUACCCCGGUAGUCCCUGUCUCUUAUAC
rnacentral:rRNA from 1 species